rnacentral:rRNA from 1 species
GACGAACGCUGGCGGCGUGCUUAACACAUGCAAGUCGAACGGUGAAGCGCCUUCCUUUUUGGUGGGUGUGGAUGAGUGGCGAACGGGUGAGUAACACGUGAGUAACCUGCCCCCUUCUUCUGGAUAACCGCAUGAAAGUGUGGCUAAUACGGGAUAUUCUGGGUCUGUCGCAUGAUGGGUCUGGGAAAGAUAUUGUUUCGGUGGGGGAUGGGCUCGCGGCCUAUCAGCUUGUUGGCGGGGUGAUGGCCUACCAAGGCGGUGACGGGUAGCCGGCCUGAGAGGGUGGACGGUCACACUGGGACUGAGACACGGCCCAGACUCCUACGGGAGGCAGCUGUGGGGAAUAUUGCACAAUGGGCGCAAGCCUGAUGCAGCGACGCCGCGUGAGGGAUGGAGGCCUUCGGGUUGUGAACCUCUUUCGCCAGUGAAGCAGGCCUGCCUCGUUUGUGGGUGGGUUGACGGUAGCUGGAUAAGAAGCGCCGGCUAACUACGUG